rnacentral:rRNA from 1 species
AACGUAGGAGACAAACGUUAUCCGGAGUUACUGGGCGUAAAGGGCGUGCAGGUGGUGCGAUAAGUCUGGCGUGAAAUCAUUCGGCUUAACCGGGUGAUGUGGUCGGAGACUGUCGGACUGGAGGGCGGUAGAGGCGUGUGGAAUUCCGGGUGUAGUGGUGAAAUGCGUAGAGAUCCGGAGGAACACCAGUGGCGAAGGCGACACGCUGGGCCGCACCUGACACUGAGACGCGACAGCAUGGGGAGCGAACGGG